rnacentral:rRNA from 1 species
UACGUAGGGCGCAAGCGUUGUCCGGAAUUAUUGGGCGUAAAGAGCUCGUAGGUGGUUUGUCGCGUCUGUUGUGAAAGCCCGGGGCUUAACUCCGGGUUUGCAGUGGAUACGGGCAGGCUAGAGGCAGGUAGGGGAGAACGGGAAUUCCCGGUGUAGCGGUGAAAUGCGCAGAUAUCGGGAGGAACACCGGUGGCGAAGGCGGUUCUCUGGGCCUGUACUGACGCUGAGGAGCGAAAGCGUGGGGAGCGAACAGG